rnacentral:rRNA from 1 species
AUUGAACGCUGGCGGCAGGCCUAACACAUGCAAGUCGAGCGGAUGAGUGGAGCUUGCUCCAUGAUUCAGCGGCGGACGGGUGAGUAAUGCCUAGGAAUCUGCCUGGUAGUGGGGGACAACGUUUCGAAAGGAACGCUAAUACCGCAUACGUCCUACGGGAGAAAGCAGGGGACCUUCGGGCCUUGCGCUAUCAGAUGGGCCUAGGUCGGAUUAGCUAGUAGGUGAGGUAAAGGCUCCCCUAGGCGACGAUCCGUAACUGGUCUGAGAGGAUGAUCAGUCACACUGGAACUGAGACACGGUCCAGACUCCUACGGGAGGCAGCAGUGGGGAAUAUUGGACAAUGGGCGAAAGCCUGAUCCAGCCAUGCCGCGUGUGUGAAGAAGGUCUUCGGAUUGUAAAGCACUUUAAGUUGGGAGGAAGGGCAGUAAGUUAAUACCUUGCUGUUUUGACGUUACCAACAGAAUAAGCACCGGCUAACUUCGUGCCAGCAGCCGCCGCCG